UAGUCAAUAAAGGCAUACUUUUUUCAAAUUAGAAAAAUGCAGGGGAUACCAAGUUAGGUUUCACUAGAAAUGUAGUAGCAAAUUCCAUAAAGGCAAAAUAACAAUCUAAACUCACAAAAGGAGAAUUAUUUGAAAGUUUGAAGGUGAGUGCAUAGAGAAAGAUAUACAACUACAAACAAAAAAUGAUCUCUCAUGGUUCCAAGUUGUAGUCCCCCACAAUAAAAUGAUGCAUGAAUCAAUUUCUUUCCUCAUUGGUCCCACAGGGACUUGUCAAGUUUGAGAGGCUGAGUGUCAAAUGCUAUUCAUUGUCAUAACUAGAAUCCAAAAAAGAUGAUAAGAUUCGUAAUGCAAUGGCUAAGAAGUUUUGCUACUCCACUUGCUUUGCAUUGGUAUAAGGUCUAUCCAUAGAUGUCCAAGCAUAAAUAUGACUUGAAGUAGAGAUGGAAACAUGAUGCCAAUAGAAUUGAUUGGUACAUAAUAUUCCAUGGAGAAAGGUGUAUAGAUAAGAUAUAACCUAUUAAACUAGAUUGGAGGUUUAUAAAUUCAUAAAAAUCAAUUAUAUUAUAUACUUAUACCAAAUAUGAGUUUUUUUUCUUUGUUAUUUUUUUCCCUCCUUUUGAAAUUCAGAUUUGAUCUUAAUACAUUUAUGGAUUUGCUUUUGAGAUCAACUUUAGUUGUGUCAGUUCUUUGAAGAAAAAAAAAAACUUUCAUCAUGCCUUGAAGUGAAAUCUCUGUCCUCAAUCCCCAUUAAAUAACAUAUAAUUGACUUAUGUGGAGAGUGUAAAUGCCUACUAAAUUGGUUCAAUCUAUUUAGUAGCACCAAAAUAUCAAAGCAAAACCCUAUAAUAUGCCUCUUCCAACAAUUUAAUAAUUUGCAGCAAUUAUCAUCUAUAAAAGGGAUUUUAUUUAUUUAUUUUGCUAAAAUGAGAAAGAAUGGAAUUCAAGUUAAUGAGUAGUCAUUUUAAUUACUUAGGAAAUUCAUGUUUUAAUCCAAUAUUUAGUAACAAUGUCUAAAACAUGUAUUUAAUAUAAUAAAAAGUUAGAUAGACGCAAAAUUAAGACCAUUAUUUUCAAUAAUUCUAAUACUUCACCCAUUAAAUAGGAUAACAACUUGCAAGGACCUCAUUUCUUUCACACAAGCAUGUGGGUAUGUCAUAUAAUUAAAUAGCUCACCAUGCUUGGCUAUCUAUAUGGAAAAAUCAAACAUUAUGGGCAAGUUGAUGUACCCAGUCACCCCCAUACUUCAAUACUGACUAAGAUAGUCAAUGCUAUAGAAAAAUCAAACACUGUGGGCAAGUUGAUGUCCUUUUUAACCAUUAAUUUUCUUAUUAAGAAAUGAGGUACUUUUAGAGAGUUACUAAUUUCCUUAUUCUUAAGAGAAAAUUCAUAAGAAAAAUUGAUGAUAUGAUUCAUGAAGAAAUAAACAAAAUCAAAAUCAGAUUUUGGAGAGCCUUACAUUAGUCAAUAAAGGCAUACUUUUUUCAAAUUAGAAAAAUGCAAGGGAUACCAAGUUAGGUUUCACUAGAAAUGUAGUAGCAAAUUCCAUAAAGGCAAAAUAACAAUCUAAACUCACAAAAGGAGAAUUAUUUGAAAGUUUGAAGGUGAGUGCAUAGAGAAAGAUAUACAACUACAAACAAAAAAUGAUCUCUCAUGGUUCCAAGUUGUAGUCCCCCACAAUAAAAUGAUGCAUGAAUCAAUUUCUUUCCUCAUUGGUUCCACAGGGACUUGUCAAGUUUGAGAGGCUGAGUGUCAAAUGCUAUUCAUUGUCAUAACUAGAAUCCAAAAAAGAUGAUAAGAUUCGUAAUGCAAUGGCUAAGAAAUUUUGCUACUCC
rnacentral:lncRNA from 1 species